UACGUAGGGGGCAAGCGUUAUCCGGAUUUACUGGGUGUAAGGGGAGCGUAGACGGCGGCGCAAGCCAGAUGUGAAAGCCCGGGGCUCAACCCCGGGACUGCAUUUGGAACUGUGCUGCUAGAGUGUCGGAGAGGCAGGCGGAAUUCCUAGUGUAGCGGUGAAAUGCGUAGAUAUUAGGAGGAACACCAGUGGCGAAGGCGGCCUGCUGGACGAUGACUGACGUUGAGGCUCGAAAGCGUGGGGAGCAAACAGG
rnacentral:rRNA from 1 species